GUUCCACUACAAGUUCUAAAAGGAUGUAAAUCACCCCGUCAAAAGCGGCUCUCCCGACUCCAAAGCACACAGACAAACCUCCUGAGCCGGCGGCCAGCGGGGGAAGGAAGUCAACAUUUGCGGAGUGGAAGCUACGCGGUCUCGUGGUCGGCGUCUCUACGGCGCAGCUCUCGGCUCGCUCGGUUUGAGCUUCGCCGGAGGCUGGAGCGCGUCGGAGGUCAGAGUUGUGGCGACUUGGUGCCCUGGUGUGAAACGCACUUUGAAGGCAUUGAAAGUCCUCAGGACGUCGACAGCAGCUCCAGCACCAAGCAUCUGUUACUUGAUAAGACAUGCGUAUUGAGAUGUGUCAGGC
ensembl:lncRNA